GAUGAACGCUGGCGGCGUGCCUAAUACAUGCAAGUCGAGCGAACAGACGAGGAGCUUGCUCCUCUGACGUUAGCGGCGGACGGGUGAGUAACACGUGGAUAACCUACCUAUAAGACUGGGAUAACUUCGGGAAACCGGAGCUAAUACCGGAUAAUAUAUUGAACCGCAUGGUUCAAUAGUGAAAGACGGUUUUGCUGUCACUUAUAGAUGGAUCCGCGCCGCAUUAGCUAGUUGGUAAGGUAACGGCUUACCAAGGCAACGAUGCGUAGCCGACCUGAGAGGGGGAUCGGCCACACUGGAACUGAGACACGGUCCAGACUCCUACGGGAGGCAGCAGUAGGGAAUCUUCCGCAAUGGGCGAAAGCCUGACGGAGCAACGCCGCGUGAGUGAUGAAGGUCUUCGGAUCGUAAAACUCUGUUAUGAGGGAAGAACAAAUGUGUAAGUAACUAUGCACGUCUUGACGGUACCGAAUCAGAAAGCCACGGCUAACUACGUG
rnacentral:rRNA from 1 species